rnacentral:rRNA from 1 species
GACGAACGCUGGCGGCGUGCCUAAUACAUGCAAGUCGAGCGAGCUUGCCUAGAUGAUUUUAGUGCUUGCACUAAAUGAAACUAGAUACAAGCGAGCGGCGGACGGGUGAGUAACACGUGGGUAACCUGCCCAAGAGACUGGGAUAACACCUGGAAACAGAUGCUAAUACCGGAUAACAACACUAGACGCAUGUCUAGAGUUUGAAAGAUGGUUCUGCUAUCACUCUUGGAUGGACCUGCGGUGCAUUAGCUAGUUGGUAAGGUAACGGCUUACCAAGGCGACGAUGCAUAGCCGAGUUGAGAGACUGAUCGGCCACAUUGGGACUGAGACACGGCCCAA